CAGAAUAUAUUAAAGAUUCUUUUUAGCAAGAAUGUAGUUAUGUAGACUUGAUAUAUAAUGUUUUUUAAUGAAGUAAAUGGCUAUUUUCAAGAGAAUAAGCAUUUUCUUUGAUGUGACGACAGUGUCCGUGAUCCGCCAUUCCAAACGAAAAAAGCUUCGUUGCUAACGUUAGCUCAGUCCUUUGUGAAUUUACCGUGGCUUUUACUGUGGUUAACAUUAAGCAUGCGUUUAGAUAGUUGUGAACGGACAGUACCAUACUGAUUUUGUUAUAGAACGAUUUGGUCUGGCGUUAGGGCACUACUGACUGUCUUAAGCAGGUUGUCGAAUGUGUGCCCAUACUGGCGUAACAUUAACUUUUAACGUAAAGGGCGUCCAUUUAUAGUUCUUUAUUUUUUUACGUGAGAUGCUGUAAUUAUGUCUUUGGGGUUAUAAUGCACUUAAUAGGCUAACUUAUAUUCACAGCAAGUGUUU
rnacentral:lncRNA from 1 species